rnacentral:rRNA from 1 species
CCCUUAGACGUUCUGGGCCGCACGCGCGCUACACUGACAAAGGCAACGAGCUACUCUUCACCGAAAGGUGUGGGUAAUCUUUUGAAACUUUGUCGUGCUGGGGAUAGAUCCUUGCAAUUUUUGAUCUUAAACGAGGAAUUCCUAGUAAGCGCAAGUCAUCAACUUGCGUUGAUUACGUCCCUGCCCUUUGUACACACCGCCCGUCGCUACUACCGAUUGAAUGGUUUAGUGAGGCCUUCGGAUCCGCGACUCGUUUGUGGAGAAGUUGGACAAACUCAGUCAUUCAGAGGAAGUAAAAGUCGUAACA